UAUUCUCUGCGAGACACGUGAGGGGUAUUCGUUUUUAUUCCUUAUAACGUGUUUUAUAGGGAGCUGUUCUUGAUUGUGGAGCGCAGGCUUGCACGCGCUGCAAGAAGCCAGAAGCAAUCACCCCGGCACCCACCUCAUUAUUAUGAGGAUAAAACAGGCCGCCCACGGUUUUUUGUGGAGAAUAC
rnacentral:other from 1 species